rnacentral:rRNA from 1 species
UACGAAGGGGGCUAGCGUUGCUCGGAAUCACUGGGCGUAAAGCGCACGUAGGCGGAUCUUUAAGUCAGGGGUGAAAUCCUGGAGCUCAACUCCAGAACUGCCUUUGAUACUGGGGAUCUCGAGUCCGGAAGAGGUGAGUGGAACUCCGAGUGUAGAGGUGAAAUUCGUAGAUAUUCGGAAGAACACCAACGGCGAAGGCAGCUCGCUAGGACGGUACUGACGCUGAGACGCGAAAGCGUGGGGAGCAAACAGG